ncrna:unclassified sequences type-P1 twister ribozyme
AGCGUAAUGCAGCCUACCAACGGUAGCCAGUCCUAAGCCUGGGUAAAUGCAGAAGGAACA